UCAUGAGUGAAAAAUCAACACUGCUAUUUGGGAGUUGUCUCUACUGUAGCUACUGUUAUUUGACCUGACAUAGAAAUUAGUUCUUUGAGGUGGGAUGCUCCUGUAACAAAUCUUAAAAAAAUUGUGGCAUUGGCUCAUGUGUCUGGAGGUGGUUGGAAAGGAAUCUGAUAUUGGAAGCCGUAAAUGUGGUGCUACAUGUUAUUCAAAGGCAAAACGUUUGAAGUAAUGGUUGUCCAUGGUAUCUUUAGAGGCAAAGCAAUGGUUGCUCACUUGCUGAUUUGCCCAGGGUAUUUCAGGAGAUGUAUGUUCAGGAAAAUCUUUCUGGUUGACAGGCCAGAAAUGUAAAGAAUGAAAAGAAAAAUAAUACA